rnacentral:tRNA from 1 species
GCGCGUGUGCCGGAGUGGUCUAACGGGUGGGUCUCAAGCGAUACGCUUUCGUUCGAAUGAGCGACGCUGCGAGCUGAGCUUUCCCAUAGCGAAAGCUGCGUGAGUUCAAAUCUCACCGCGCGCA